rnacentral:lncRNA from 1 species
UCACGGAUAGUUAUCACUGGACAUUCUUUUGGAGGUGCUGUGGCUACCCUUUUCACCCUAUGGCUGCUGCAAAGCCUUGACUUGUCGAAAGCGAAACGCCCCCUUUGCAUCACUUUCGGUUCACCCUUGAUCGGUGACGAACAACUCCGAAAAUGUGUGUUGGAAUUCUCAACAUGGAGUUCUUGCUUCUUGAAUGUAGCCUCCAUCAAUGAUCCUGUACCUAAAGUCUUCCUAACUUCGCAAGGGAGUGGUUAUAAGCCUUUCGGAACAUUCCUACUGUGCUCCUCUUCGGGUGGUUCUUGCAUUGAGGACGCUGAUGCCAUUUUGCAACUAUUGGUGGAAACCAGCUCUCAGUGUGUUCAAAAUCCAGUUCCGAAUUCAGGGACUCAGUUGUUUGAUUACGGAAAGAUUUUGAAUGAUCUCAAGACCAAGGCAUUGUUUAGAGAUGUCUUUGAGUUGGUUGAAGAGGAUAGAGUUCCACUUAAUGCUGGAAUUAAAACACAGUUGGCAGCAAUAUUAGGCGUUCUCAGCUCACAGGUAUCAAACUUUCAACAUGAAUAUCUGAUUUGAUGAUAGAUUUUGGGAAAUGGUUUCCGCACAAACCUGUGUAUUUCUAUCUCUUGAUUCUCCUUUGAUUUAUUUAAUCCAAAGACUAGAAAUAAACACGGGUGUGCAGGGGGAGAAUAUGAUUUUGCGGAAAUCACAUCCCAUGUUUACUUCUAGCUACUAACUUUUCUCUCAACUCCUUUUGUAAAAGUCAUUGCAGCAGCAACAACCCCACAUAAAAUUCGAGAGUCUGAUAAAAAAGAUGGUCAAUCACGAACGUAGACUAGCGAUGCAGAAGACGAAGGAUUACAGCUCCUUCUUGAAAUUGAAUGAGGUUAAAAAGUACAUGGCCAACAUGGAAUGGUACAAGAAGGAGUCCAAAGACAUGGGAAUUGGAUACUAUGACAGGUACAGAAACACGCGUUACCCGAGUGACAUUAAUGCCGAUGAGUUCAAGAAGAGGCUGUCAAUUUAUUGGCAUGACACGGUUACUGAAGCUGAGAGCAAACCACAGAAAGAAGGAGGCGCAAUGCGUAUCCGUUUUCUUUAUGGUGGAACGAAUUACAGAAGGAUGAUCGAACCGCUUCACAUUGCUGAGUACUACAGGGAAGGUGGAAAAAAUUACAAAGAGAAAAGGCCUCGACAUUUUGUUCUUUUGGAGCAAUGGUUCAAUGAGGAGGAGAAAAAGAAGAGGGAAAAGAAAGAGAGGGAAGAAAGGGAGAACCCGCAACAGCGCAGCGCAAGCAAGUCCAACCCAAAAGCGAACAGUGUGGCUUCUAGUCUGAAUGAUGAUUCUUGUUUUUGGGUGCACGUCGAGGAAGCACUUAUCUUGUGCGACGAACUAGCGAGUAAUCCACAUGCCAAGCAAAAGCUGAUCGAAUUUGAGUGUUACGUGCUGGAUACGCUCAAGAAUUUCGCAGUGACACCUGAUAUUUUCUUGCCGCAGAGCAGCUUCAUGCGAUGGUGGAACAAGUAUAAAGAGAUUGUGGGAAGUAGCUACUCCUCAGAACUCACAGAAGUCAUGAAGCGUCACACUUAUCGCAGGUAUGCCGAUGGGGUCUCAGUUCUUGCUGGUCUAUAAUCCAAGAUAAUUAAGUUUUAAGCAAUCAAUUAAAUCAGAUAAAGCAAGAUAAGUUUUGCUGUAUUCAUCACGAUCUUCAUAGAGAGAGACGUGCAGUACUUGCAGGACUUGUUGGUGCUACUACGUUUGAAUAUUUUUGUUUGUGGUUUCUUUUUGUUUUGGGCUCUAGCAUCUAGCUCUCUUGUAAGAAAAAUAAUGUGUGGGGGAGUUGUUUCAGUUAUAUUGUUGUAAUUUCCACUUCAUAAAAGUAAUGACGUUUGUUGUAUUUUGAUUUCACUAAGUUUGAGAACUACCCUAAUCAGCAUUUAUAAUAAGUUGAAAUUUACGUUUGUCGUGGUUUACGUUGUAUUACUCUUCAUAUACCUAUCAAGUACAAAAGCAGUAAAUACAUAUUUUAGCCAAGUGACUAAGUGUGGAACUGGGAUUCAAAGCUAAAGUAGAAUUACUUAUGUAUCCCAUAAUGUAUACCUUCUGAUGGCUUUUCACAUAGCACGCAACGUGUGAUUAAGGAACAAAAUGGUAUACACCUCGAGAUAGGUAAGUCCAUCAGCUAGUAAAUUAGCUUGAUGUAAUGUAGUCACGUGACGAGUAAGAACGAAGAAAUGAGUGUACAGCUUGGGACACAGUACAUAUAUAUAGUAAAACUACAUGUAUGUAUGCUUUGGGUGAGGCCGGCCAAGAGGGAUCUCCAUUUUUUUUUCAAAAAAUAGGAAUUAGUUGUGAGACUCACUCCACAUCGAGCUUCAACGGUCUGAACCGUUUAUUUAUUAAGAAGAAAUUAGGUUAUCAUCAUUCCUUUUGCUACUCCAUUAAUUAAAAUCCUAUUUUUUUUCAAUUUUUGAUCAAAGUCCUUGGGUAUUAAUAACAUCAUUAAUUAUUUCAAUAAUAAAAUAUUUUUUUAUUUCUUAAUAUAUUCAUUUAAUGUUAAAAAUGUUACAAUUAGUAUAUUUAUAUUUAUGACUAAAGUUUUUACCAUAUAUUUUUAGUUUUAGUUUGUACCCAUUUUUAAUUUGUAAUUCUUUUUUAAUUUGUACCAAUUUUCUUUUCAGUUUUAAUUUGUACCCAUAUAUUAAUUUCUUUUUGUGCCCAUAUUUUUUUAAAGUUUAUUUGUAUUUGUACCCAUAUAUUUUUUUUAUUUGUACUUUUUAUUUUGCUAAAUGUACCCAUGCUAAUUAUAUGUACCCAUUCAUGUAAAACUUUUUAAUCUUAAAAUGUACUCAUUCUUAAAUAUACCAAUUUGUUAUAUGUAAAAUGUACCUUUUUUAUAUAUAUAAAAUUUAUUCAAUUUUUUUCUAAUCUAUUUUAAACUUAUAUGGGUACAUUCUUUUUUCUUUGAUUUUAAAAUGUAUCCAUGUCAAGUUUAAUCGAAGAAAUUUACUAAUGUUAUUAAGCCUAAUAUCUUUUUUUUUUUUUAUGAUUUUGAAGAAUGUACCCAUGUUUUGAUACAAUAAAUUUUUUGGUUAAUUUUGAUGAAUGUACCCAUGUUUAUAUAUAUACACACACACAAUAGUAUAUUUAUAUUUUAAUAUUUUUAAUCCCACAAAUUAUGGUUUUUUUAUUUAAAAUCUCAUUUAUAUAAACAACUAAAAUUUCUAAUUUUUAAUUUAAAAAAUAUAGUAACAUACAUAGAAAUAAAUUAUCAUAUUAAUUUCAGGGACCUAGAUAAAAAAUUAAAAACUAAUAAGGUUUCAAUCAAAGAAUAUUCAUAAUUAAGGGCCGCAUCCAAAGUCUCCCUUUUUAAAUCUUGAUUUAUAGAUCAUUCUUGCAAAAAUUCAAGUCCGAAACCAUUUGCUAAUUUAAUUAUCACGAUAAAAUUUUAAUGUUUUAUUAGAACAAAACGUUCGUCAGCUCUUUGAACUCAAUUAGAUGCCUUAAAUAUUUUCGAUUUGGCUAAUAUUUUACAAAAUUAAUCUGGCACAUCCUGCCUCCACCAUAGCAAAAUAUUGUUCGCUUUGGGUCAUGCCCUCACGGAUUUGUUCUUGGGCUUCCACCCAAAACGCAUCAUGCUAAGAAGAGAUGAGCAUGUACAUAUAAAGCCAGGGACCAACCUUCACCCAACCGAUGUGGGAUCUUACAACCCACCCCCUUAGGGAGACCGAUAUCCUCGUCGGCACAUCCAAGCAGACGGUGAGUCUGGCUCUGAUUCCAAAUUGUCACAUCUCGCCUUCACCGUAACAAAAUAUUGUCUGCUUUGGGCCACCCUUCAUGGAUUUGUUCUUGGGCUUCCAUCCAAAACGUUUCAUGCUAGGAAGAGACGAGCAUGUACAUAUAAGGCCAAUGACCAACCUUCACCCCACCGAUAUGGGAUCUUACAUAAUCUAUGAAAUGAAACUUAAAAAAAAUACACAAUUCAAAUCUUUAAAAUUUGAUAUGGUGCCUUUCCCUUAAAAUGAGGUAGUGAUUUAGAUAGACCAUGUCAAUUUGCCAUGCCAAAUAUUAGGAAAGUAGAGUGUAGACAUGGGAAGAAAACCCAGCUUAGAUAUGGGACCCACAGGCACAUGCAGUUCUCAUCGAUCUCAAUAAUUUUCAACAAACCUUUAGAGCAAGUCCACCGGAGUGGUUUUUGCCCAGCACCCUGUCCAAAUAACAAGCUGAGGGACAGGGAAUUCACUUCAGCUCGUCGGGCUGCCUGGCACACAACCCAUGCCAGUCAACAAAUUAGCCCAUUUUUGACAGACCCAAGAGCCGGCCUAUUUGGCUGGCGCGUGGACUGCAUGCGCGCUUGGCAGCGAGUAGAAGACAAGCCGGCAGGCGCUGUUAGCCCACUUGUGCUGCAGCAACGUGGCUCGCUUAGAGCCGUUGGAUUUCCAACGGUAACAAAAAUUUAAAUUUUACUUUUAAACUGGACCUUUCGAUCACAGAUCAACGGUCCACGUUUUAUCCCCCUCCCCAAAAAAAGGGUCAAACGGUCAGAUUUAUAGCCGUUGGCCACGUGGCAGAUCAUGGGCUCUUGGAUUUGAAUAUUUUUCAAAUCCAACGGUCCAGAUUAAUUAACUACAUUAAAAUUAAUUAAAAAAAAUUAAAAAGUAUUUUUUUUCUAUAAAUACCUAACCCUCAUCUUCCACCUUACACCACAUUUCAAUAUUUUCUACACUUUCUACACUUUCUAUAAAUACCUAACCCUCAUCUUCCACCUUAGCGGAAAUCUAUUCACAAAAUAGUACGUUCGGAUAAUGACACGUGGCGUGACGAGAUUGGUUAAAAAUCCCAUCCGAAAUAAAACUAUUUUAUUUUUGUAUUCUUUUAGAAAAAAUUUAAAAAUAUUUUAAAUGGGCUGGGUGCCAGCGCAUUUUGUAGGGGUGGAGAUCGUUUGUGCCAGCGCAUUGUUUUAGGGGUGGAGAUGCAUUGGCCUAUUACUGUUCAUUGGAGUAUAUUACUGUUCACUGAAGUGGAUAAAUGGGCUGGGUGCUGGCACAAGGUCCUUAGGGGUGGACUUGCGCUUAUGUUUUGAUUCGAACAGUCUCCCACUUUCGAUUCUUCCAGUCCUACUGCAAUUGUCCUUUCGUGCUUUUUGCUCGGAGGGCAAGGAGCAAUUUUUACUCUUUACUUUAUAAGUUUAACCGCCCAUUAAAAAAAUAAUUUUUUUUUGAAAAUUAAAAUUGGUUUUCAGAAUUUUCUUUUCAAUUUUUGAUUUUCAAACGAAUCUUAUGAUGUUUAUAUGGGCAAAAUACAUUAACGUGUGCAUGAACAAAGAGGAGCACGUCGAAACCGAGAAAAAGUCUAAAUUUUUUUAUGUGGUUCAAUAUCUUAGUGAAUGAAGCGUUAGAUUUCUACCCAUGCAUUCUGGAUUUGAAAUCCUCCCAUUUUUUAAAUUAUUAUAAUAAUUUGAACAUCUCCUAAUAAUAUGGUACGAAUUUAUUGCUACCGUAAUAUUCCAAUCAAACAAAACAAUGACAUGUGUACAUUUUUCAAUACGUGACACUGACAUUGUAUAGUUAAAUUGAUCAAGGUGCUAUGUGGAAGAUGAUCAUCUCCAAAUCCAUUUUGUGGGAAUCCUAGGGAUUCUCACAUCAUAGCCAUUCAUCGUACAUCGUGCUUGUCAAUUUUCGUCGUGUACUAUUUGUGUUUAAUUUUAAAUAAAAAAAGUCAAAUGAUUUCUGACCACACACGAUGAAUGACUAAGAUAUGAGGAUCCUUAGGAUCCGGAUAGAAUCCAAAUCCGUACUACAUGACGAUAAAAUUGUUCUAUAUAAAUUGCUCUCUAAAAUUAGGUCGACAUCGUCCUUUUUUAAGUUGGAUACAACACACAAUUAGCCCUUGGAUUCGAAAAUACAAUUGGAUCGUCGUCAUUUAUACGAUUUAAUGGAACACUAGUCCAAAUUGGAGUGGGGCCCAUUUCCUUUCCAAUAAAAUAGCCACGUUGAUGUUGGACUGUUGGAUUAGCGACGUUGAUGAGCUUUUAGUGCGCUAUUUAGCUUUAACGUUGCAUAUGAUCCAUCACGUGACGAACAAUAUACGCGCCAGAUACAACGUUGUAACUUUUAACCUUUCUCCCCAUUAUCCACCUAAUUAUCUCAGCCUCCAUUUUAUGACAAUUUAAUAUCUACAAUCUUUUGCUAAUAGUUGGGGGGUUUUCUUAACUAAGAUGUUUGUGACUCUCUAAUGUAUACAAAAUUGUACAAGAUUAACCACAACCGUACAAUGAUGACUGAACUCUGAGUUCCCAAAGUGGACCACACUUAGGUGAUUCUGGAGAAAUUUAGGUGCAAUUGUCACACUGUCAAAUAAUGUUAAUCAGGUUUAAUAAUAAAAAAAUUAGUGUUGUCGAACCACAGCUAUACUGGAGGAAGAAAGUCCUCGUUAAAGGAGGGAAAAGUUGAUAUUGGUGUCACGCUCGACCUUGUCGAGGGGGAUGAAGGUGCGGUAGGUUUAAUACUCGAAUUAACCAAAGAGUGAUGUUAUCUGCACACCUUCUUUUAAGUCUCACACACUCCUUGUUAAUUUAUGUCACAUGAUCAUCUUUAAUUCAUUAGAUUCGAUGACCAAUUAUUGAGAGUUGUGUGUGAAAGAUAAAAAGAGGUUAGCAACACCCUUAACUAGAGGUGGUAAAUCAACAUGUUGGGUUGUUAAUGGUUACUCAUUAAGACUCAUUUAGUUUGAUUUCAGCUUACACCAUUAUCACCAUCACAAACCCUACCUCUAUAUUAUGAUGAUAUCAAAUUAAACGAGUCUUAACGGGUACUCAUUAACAACUAAAUGUGUUUAUCUCCACCUUUACACUUGUUGAUGCACAAAAUCGGGUCGAUCUUGGACCAACGUAAAUCCGACCGUGAAUCACAUAAACGCACAAGAACACAAAGAUAUAUCGUGGUUCACCUCAAGUUGAGGCUACGUCCACACUGGUGUUGAUUCCGUUUCACUAUGUAAAUGAAUGUUGAAUAUACAUGGAGGCUAUAGAGGCAGUGUUUACUCUCUUUGCUAUUCUGUUUGCUUUCUCGUUUCCCCUCUGUCUGUUUCCAUUUCUCUUUAAGUGAGUGUGAGGGAGCCAUUUUAUAAAAUAAGGGUUUCCUCCCAUCUUACAUGAAUCAUGGGCUAAGUAAUGAAGCCCAAAUACUGAGACCCAAUAUAUGGUACAACAUAAGUCCCCCAAGUCUUCAGUCAAGAGAGUCUUUUGGCUGGAGACUUCAAAUUCAAUCCAUGUGCAGGCUGAAAUGACUAGAUGUCGUUCAGAACUAGUACUCGACAUAAGACGGUGCUUAACAUGAAGCAAUAAUCAGCUAGAGGUAGCACACGUUGCGAGGCUGCUCGACUAGAGGCAAUGCUCGCGGCGAGGCGGUUGCUUGGCUGGAGGCGGUGCUGGUUACGAGACAGCUCAACUUGUGGCAUUCUUCAUUGCGAGUAUGCACUAAAUGUCAGUGUGUGCUCAUUAUGAGUUAACUUUCGACAUGACUCGGGUCCACUUGUCGAGUUCGCAUAUUGGGUCUAUGUGUCAAGUCCGCGGAUCAGGUCUAUAAGUCGGGUCUUUGAGUCGGGGCCAUCCGUAGGGUCUUUGAGUUGGGUCCGUAAGUCGAGGUUCGAGCUCAAAGGUGUCCAAUCUCGUAAGUGCCCGAAUGAAUGGGUGUCCAAGCACAUAGGUGUCCAAAUGAGCGAGCGUCUGAGCAAGUGGGUGUCUAAACGAGCGAGUGUCUAAGCAAGUGGGUGUCCGGUCAGACAAGAGAUCAUCGUUCGAACUAAAUCUUUGUCACCAUAAGCAUGUGGCUCAUCGAUCUAUAAGUUGAUCAGUAACAAUGUUGAUCAACGGAGUCCUGGCAAUAAAUAAUAGUAUAAGCAUGAAUGCAUAAUUAAUAAAUCAAUCACAGAGUUUGGCAAAAGUAUAAUGUCAUACUAUGCAAAUUGUGUGGUAAAUGACUUGUUUCAUAUGUGACAUAGUUAAUGACAUCACAGUAUCACUAGGCAAUGAAUAAAUAUUGCAUAAGUAAUUGCCUAAAUAUGUAGGUCAUUAGUGAAAUAUGAUAGAAAGCGUACUGAGCAUACGUGACUAUUGUAGCAUGUAAUCUUAAUAUAAUGACAAUGGGAAGACACACAAUAUAUUAUAUAAAUAUAUUUUCAUUCAAAUAAUGAGGAUAUCUAAUUUGGUCAGACCAUGCCACUAGCUAUAGUAAUUGUGGGGUGAUAAAAUAAUAAAAAUAAAGGUAUGUGGUAUAGUGGGUGUAAAGAAUAAAGAGGGUUUUAGGUGGAUUUGAUCAGUAGUCAUGUUGAAAAUAAAUAAAAUAUUUAAAUAAUGAAUUCAGUGUUCAUGAAUGAUUAAAGCUGGCAAGACUAAGGACAAGUGGUCUUGUAAUAAACAUUACAUAAUAAUAUAAAAUAUUAAUAGACAAUGACAUUGAGAAAACAUAAUGAUGGGUUUCUUUCAUGGCCGACAAUAUCAAAGGGGGAUAAUAAUAAAAUUAUUAUAAGCAAGCUUAUCUUUUUCCUGGUUUUCCCGUGGGUUUUUUUCAAUGGGAUAGUGGGUACAUGUCCUCGUGAAGAGCUACAAGGCACAUCAAAGCUUGGAGCUUGAAACCCAUUUGGGAUUUUGAGUUUGUGUAUAAGUAAAAGUGAAGCAGGAAAGCAAGAAGGUGAGCAGAAUGGUGAAGUUGGUGAACUUCGCUAUGGAUCCAACGGCUGAGAAACACUGAGGCUCUAUUUUCUCAUGCAGGUUUAGUUUGUAACAGUGAUGCUUAUGUUCUAAUUUAGCUCUCAAGAUCUGCACAGAAAAUGUAGAGAGAUAGAGAGAGAGAGAUGCGGUGGUGGCUAUGUUUCCAUCGUUGCUGCCGUGAUGGGGAGCUGGAACAGAAGACAUGGGUUUUGCAGUGAUUGUGCAGGUUUUUGGUUCUUAGGUUUCUACAGAUUCACGGUGGAGGUUGUGAGGUUUGAUGAAAAAAUGAAAGAGAACCAACAUAGCUUUUCGUGUCGUUUCCCACAGACGGCGCCAAAUGUUGAUGCACAAAAUCAGUGAGGACUGUGGUACAACAGAAAGUGUUAAGUUUGUGACCUUAGCUAGAUUGCUCCGGUCACUAGUGUGGAUAAGUAUGUAAAUGGAUAGAGACAAGGAAUCAAACUCAAGAUGUACGUGGUUCAUCCAGAUUCGCUACGUCCACGAAGUAUAUGAGUUCUCUUUAAUUGUGAAAGAUUUACACAAGUACAUAGGUUCAAGCUCUCAUUUAGUGAGUACUAGUGAAUGAUUUAGUACAAAUGACAUUAGGGAUUAUUAUGGGAGAAUGAUCUCCUUUUAUAGAAGAGAGUUUCUAGUUUUGUUCUGGCCUUGACACAUGUCAUGCUAUGAUUGGCCUUUGAUGUUGACACGUGUCGUCCUGUGAUUGGCCUCUUGGUGUUGACACGUGUUACGCUGUGAUUGGCCUCCUAGUUUGAGGGAAACUCUUCUGGGUCCUUGAUGGUAUAACGUUGACCAGUGCUUGGUAGUUUCGAGAUUGAUCAAGUAUGGUACAAACAACACUUAACCAAAUAAUGACGAAAGGUUGACAUUUCAUAUCGUCUUCUUUCAUAAGCUUGAUAGUCAUAAAAUAGAAAUAAGGAUCCUCUUCGAAUUAUCUUUGUGAGGAUCCCGAGGAUUCAUGAACUGUGUCCAUUCAUCGUACAUCGUGCAAUCAGAAAUCAUUUUAAAUUUUAUUAUUUAAAAUUGAACACAAACAGUAUUUAACAAAAACUGGCCGCAAGAUGUACGAUGAACGAACACGAUUCACAAAUUUUAGAAAUCCUCAUGAAGAGGCUUCAGAUUCAUAAAAUAUUGUAUAGAUAUGUGUUAGACCAAAAGCGAGGUAAUUACACUACACGACAAUGUGACAUUCAAAUUGAAAAAAUACUCAUUACUCUCAAGUCUAAAGAACACUUAGCUACACUCAAUCUGUAUCGUGACAUGGAUAAUGUUUUUCACACCUAUUUUUACUUUCUACAUACCUUGGUUAAGUUUUGGUCAUUGAUUUUUUUUUUCAAUUCAUAACAGAAAAUUAAGAAUGAUGGGUGAAAAGUAAAAAUAAAUAUGUGAAUAGCACUACCAUGUGACAAUCCUGAAAUUAAACUUUUCCACAUUGCAAUGCAUAAUUAGUCUUUUUAUGCAGUUAGAUAACUUUAGGGUUUACGUGUGAUUAAUUGAACUAUAACAUGAGGUGAUAAUGAAUUACUUAUCCACUUAACUCGUCAAUUAUACAACUAAUUUAAUACUUUACUUAAAUGCAAGUGACGUCUACAGUACUAGGCUCGGUCAAUGUAUGAUUGACUUUAUACAAUGUCACAGUCAUAGUGGUAUUGAAGGAAUUCGGAUCCUCACCGGAUUUUCUUUGUAAGGAGCUUGAAGAUCUGUGAAUCAUAUCCAUUCAUUGUAUAUCGUGCGGUCAUAAAUUAUUUUAAAUAUUUUUAUUUAAAAUUAAAUACAAACAGUAUCUGACAAAAACUAACUGCACAAUGUACGAUUAACGGACACGAUUUACAGAUUUCCAUUAACCUUACCGAAAUGAUCCGGAGAUGGACUCAGAUCCUCUCCGGAUCAUUUCCGUGGGGAUCCUUCUGACCUAUUAAUCUCAUCCGUUGAUACUAAUCCAACGGCCAAAUGAGUUUCGCGUCUUUUCUCUCUUUUCUCCCUUACGCUCUUCCCCUCAACCCUUCAUUCUCCCUCAAUUCGAAGCACCCGACCCGCUGCCACCAUGUUACGAACUGGAUUUGAACCAGCAUCCCAAAAUUCCCCGGAAAACUUCCAUUUAUAUUCUGAUCGUGACUAUGGUCUUCCAACCCAGCAACCCCCAACCUCCCCUGCUGCAAAUUGAAUAAAGUCCGAAUUCAAAGGACCUACAAAAAUAUCACUAAACGUACUGCAAAAAUUAAAGAUUCAGAGAUAAGAAAUACAAAAGUUAACAAGGAAUUUAAUUGGGGUGGGCUGGGGCUGAAGAAGAUUGAGAAGAUGCUGGUGUGGCGUUGGUGGGUGCUUCUAAGUGAGAGGAGAAAGAUGAAGAGUCGAGGGAAGAGAGAGAGAAAGAGGUGAAAAUAAUUUGGCCGUUGGAUUUGUCCCAACGGUUGAUAUCAAUCGGUCAAGAGGAUCCUUACGGAAAUGAUCCGGAGAGGAUCUGAGUCCUCCGGAGAUGACCAAGUUGGGUAUUGAAGGGCAGAAAAGUCGUCCUCACCCGCUCCAUAAAGUAGGGGUAUUUCCGUCAUUCCAUGUGCCUUGAUCCGAAGUUCAACCCAAAAUUUAAGUGGGCCGUCGAUUACUCCUAAGCACGAUUCCCGUGAUUGACGGUGGAUAGAGUGCCGCGUGGUUACUCCCUUCCCCACUCUGUCUACCCCCGGUAAAUCCAUCUCUUCUACGAGGGCACGAGACCUCACUCUCUAUUUCUCUCUCUCUGUCUUUCCUCCUCUGAGCUUCCAAAAUGCUCAUUUCUUCCUUCCGGCUACCGCCCGCCAGCUGAAGCAGUUGCAGAAGCAGCAGCAGCCACAGAGAGAAGCUGAGCAUGGCGGCAUUCCUCAUUGUCCUCCUCACAUCUCUCUACUAGCUCUCACCACCCUCCCCGGCGCCGAAUCCCGACUCUACACCAACUACUACCAAAAAUCGUGCUCGAGAUUCGCUCAAAUCGUCCAAGACACCGUCACAAAUAAGCAGAUCAUGAAUCCUACCACCGCCGCCGCCAUUCUCCGCCUCUUCUUCCACGACUGCCUCGCCAACGGCUGCGAGGCCUCCAUCCUCCUCUCCUCCACCCCCUUCAACAAGGCGAUGGAGAAGCUCGGCGUGUUAGGGAUUCAGACCGGAAGGCGGAGAGAGAUUAGGCACAGGUGUCGAUAUCAACCUCUCAAAGAACAGAGAAGCAGGAACUACUCGCUGUGCACCAGUUCAUAAAUUGGUCCAUCGCUGGUAUGCGUUUUAACUCUUCCCUAUUAGGUUAAUAUUUAUACUUCCAUUAUUUUCAGCAAAUGGUCUCUUGUCCCGGCUUACUUCCAUAUUUCUCGGUUUUGCUCCCACAUUUCUUGGAUUCCUGGGAUUGUAGGGAUCCCAAAAUCGUAACCGUUCAUCCUAUAUCUUCGGUUAAAUUUCGUUAAGUACUAUUUAUAUUUAAUUUUAAAUUUUAACGGUGCACUGGCCCUUGUACUCAUCUCGUGGGUACUAGUUGAAAACACACUUAUUUACUCAAGUAAGGUGAAAAGGUUGUCAAGUUCCUUUAGCGAUAUGGAGGAUAACGUCAUACUUGAUGGUAGAUACUCUCGGAUGUCUUUUGUGGCUUUAGAUGGUUUUAUUCAACGUUGCUUUCUUUGGAACGGGAAACUUUGCGAGUAUUGCAAGUUUUGGGAUUUCAUCAGUGUAUCGGUUCAUUACCGUCUUCAGUGUAAGUGAAGGUUGAACUUUCCUGGGCAUUAACGCUGCUAAGGCACACCUCUUGCGGUCUUCUGCAAUUUUUUGCCCUUUAUUCCUGCAACUGCUGAUUGCUCGUACAAAGUUCGAUUGAAAUUUAAUGAGAGUCAGAGCAAUGGGAUUUUCCAAGUGUUCCCCAAAGAUCUCACAACGUUCGAUUGAAAUUUUGGCACUCUUCUCACAUCUCUUGAUUAGUUGAUACGAUUUAACCAGUUAUCCCAUUUAGUUAUUCAUUGAUCGAUUUUGUAACUACAUUUAACCAGUACAUACUCCACUUUUGGCUGUCUGAAAUAUUUGAUUGGUCGUAGAUUAAAUGUUACUAUCUUCCAUCUCGAAACAAUAAAAGUUGGCCCUAUAUUGGGACAAAUUAUUGGCUGCGAACGACCAGACUACAUGGUUGUUUAAGAGCAUCUUUAACCGGAGUCCCAGCACUAUUUUUGAAGAAUCAUUUACGAACUUAAAGGGAAUAUACUUGUUCCCAAAAGAAAAUUAGUUCCAAUGGAGUGUCUUAUAGUAUAAUCUUUAAAUUUAGAUACUACGAAUUAAAAAAUCAUUGUUAAUUUCACAAUGAGAAACCUAAAAUAACUUUCACAACCGUUGUUUUCUCAUCAAACCAAAGAGAAAAGUAACGGGACCUGCCCCAUUGGAAGCUGCACAGUAUUUUAGAGUUCCAUCACGUGCUCACGUGCUAGGGACUUUCCCCGAAGAAAGAUGGUAAUCUACUAUAAAACCAAGAGUAAUGUUAUCUACAUACUUAUUUUACUUUUAAUACAUCCAUAUACAAUCCUUAAUUGUAAGGUAAUUUUGGCGGUCUCCGGGCAGUCCCUAUAUUAUAGGGAUUGGAGUUCCGAUCCACCGGAAGUCACCAAGUUCUUAACUUUAAGGAUAUAUGGUGGUAAGAACAAGUAUAGGAACAAACAUUGAAGAUGCUCUAAUUGCACGCACAAAACACCCAUUCUUGCCGAUGGUCCCACCCUGCGCCCCUUGCGCGCGUGCGAGCUUCCGAACUCAAGGAUUGCCCCUUGUAAUUGUAAAAGCAAAGAAUAGAAAAAGACGACCAUAUUGUACUGCUGGUAGGUGAACUGGGAAAGAAACAGAACGGUCGACGGCCAUACCCGAGCCCUCAGAUUCACUAGUUAGAUUACUUUGUAAAUUUCUUUGCAUCCUUCCGGAACGUUCAGUCGUUAAAAUCAGCAAUGUAUUAACCUGCUCCAAAUAUUCAUUGCAGGGAGCAAGAGGGAAUAAAUAAUGCAAGUGGGAAUAAUUAACCUGAAUUUUAACACGUAAACGUACAAAAGAAGACAAGGAAAAGCUUCGAGGUCUAGGGCCCUCCCUUUUUCUCCGAGAAACUUUCAGGAAUAAGUUGCGUGGACGACGACCUAGACUUUGCUGUGCAUCGUCGACUUGGGGGGAAGCUUCGUCGUGCGGCCUUUUGAUUGGUGAGACAAAGACGUCCAUAAUAUUUAAUAACGAUAGGAUUGAUUCGUAUUCUAUAUAAAGAGAGAUAUAUUGACCAUUCCGGUAUCCUCUUCUCUCCAUCUACUGUGUGUUUUAAGCAGAUCGGCAAAAGCUUGAAGAUGAACGACCGGUAAGUCAACUUCGACUUCAAACUUCUCCGAUCCUUGUUUUUCUUUGAAUCCUUUGCCAUGAUUUUUCUUGUGUUGUCUUGAUUGAGCGGAAAAUGGUCUGGAAUGGCUAAAAGUGUGUUUUUCAACUAUCAAAAGUUCUUAUGGUUGAAUCUGGCAAAAAAAACUUGCAAAACGCUUUUAGAUAGACGGUAUAAGCUCUUUUCGGAGAAGCAUGUGCUAUGUCCGCCCUCUACAAGCACUUCUAUAUUUUCAAGUGCUUUUUCGAAUAGCACUUGAGUAUUUAAUAAACAUUUCUAUAUGUUCAUAGUAAAAGAUAAGUGCUUAUGAGUAAAGUGAAUCUUACGAAAUACAUUAGCUUAAUAAUCGUCCUUAUAGUUUACCAAAUUGCAAUUUCAUUCUUACAAGUAUUUUGCUAAAGUGGCUUCGUUAGAAAUAGGUAGUAUUAUCUACGCAUUUAUUUUUACUUGUCAUACACGAGAGAGGAUCCUCGCCGGAUCCUCUUUGUGAGGAUUACGGGAAUCCUUCAAUCACAUCCGUUCAUCGUACAUCAUGCGGUCAGUUUUUGUUAGACGCAAAAGUUUCAACAGAAGUUUCAAGCAUGUUUGUUAUUAUAGUUGGAUGCUAUUUGCUUACACCCUCGAUUUAACUUUGCUUCAAUUUUUUGUUGGUGAUGACAGAAUUAGCAGUGCUGGGCUUGAACUAGCAAAUGUGCUGGUGACUUCUCCUCCCCUGCAGCAGUCAUGGGACGCGGUUCUUGAUCAGAUGCAAAAGCUCCCCCCAGCAGCUGAUCCGAACCAAAAAAUGGCCUUAGACAUUAAUGAAACCAAGCACUCAAACACCGCCAUCAUAUCUUUUCUUACUUCACCCGUCACGCUUCACGAUCAACAAACGAUGGUUUCAUCGUUGACUCUCAAGAAUGCAGAUUUUUCUCUCUUUGAGUUUUUGUGCGGCAAAAACAUCCCAAGUUUCUCCGUCAAUGAAUUGGCAAUCAAUUUCUUCAAAUUGAACCUGAAAAACCUCGAUAUUUGGCGAAAAAAGGUGCGUAUUAUUGUCUCUCUGGUAACUGAUAAUGUUUAAUCGUUUUGACAACUCUUAAUAGUGAGAAACAGUUAAAAAAUCAUAAUUAUAUUGCUAGAUUACUUUUCACUUAAUUAGUUUGGAUUCUUUGACAAACUGUUAAUGUUAACGAAAAACGCUUACAAAACCGAGUUUAAGUGUUUUUUCUUUUACUAUGAAAGAAGUUUGAGGAACUUAUUUGUAAAGACUUCUCCGAAUUGAUUAUAUAGAAAUUCAGUAAUUGACUAACUUUUAUGUAAUAUUUCAGCUGGUAGAAAUGUUAGAAAGCAGCAAAUCCUCACGGAUAGUUAUCACUGGACAUUCUUGGAGGUGCUGUGGCUACCCUUUUCACCUUAUGGCUGCUACAAAGCCUUGACUUGUUGAAAGCGAAACGCCUCCUUUGCAUCACUUUCGGUUCACCCUUGAUCGGUGACGAACAACUCCGACAAUGUGUGUUGGAAUUCUCAACAUGGAGUUCUUGCUUCUUGAAUGUAGCCUCCAUCAAUGAUCCUGUACCUAAAGUCUUCCUAACUUCGCAAGGGAGUGGUUAUAAGCCUUUCGGAACAUUCCUACUGUGCUCCUCUUCGGGUGGUUCUUGCAUUGAGGACGCUGAUGCCAUUUUGCAACUAUUGGUGGAAACCAGCUCUCAGUGUGUUCAAAAUCCAGUUCCGAAUUCAGGGACUCAGUUGUUUGAUUACGGAAAGAUUUUGAAUGAUCUCAAGACUAAGGCAUUGUCUAGAGAUGUCUUUGAGUUGGUUGAAGAGGAUAGAGUUCCACUUAAAGCUGGAAUUAAAACACAGUUGGCAGCAAUAUUAGGAGUUCUCAGCUCACAGGUAUCAAACUUUCAACACAAAUAUCUAAUUUGAUGAUGAUUUAGGGAAAUGGUUUCCGCACAAACCUGUUUAUUUCCAUCUCUUGAUUCUUCUUUGAUUUAUUUAAUCCAAAGACUGGAAAUAAACACGGGUGUGCAAGGAGAGAAUAUGAGUUUGCGGAAAUCACAUCCCACGUUUACUUCUAGUUACUAACUUUUCUCUCAACUCCUUUUGUAAAAGUCAUUGCAGCAGCAACAACCCAACAUAGAAUUCGAGAGUCUGGUGAAAAAGAUGGUCGCUCACGAACGUAAACUAGCGGUCCAGAAGACGAUGGUUUACAGUUCUUUCCUGAAAUUGAAUGAGAAUAAAAAGUACAUGGCCAACAUGGAAUGGUACAAGAAGGAGUCCAAAGACAUGGAAAUUGGAUACUAUGACAGGUACAGAAACAAGCGUUACCGGAGUGACGUUAUUGCCGAAGAGUUCACGAAGAAGCUCUCAAUUUAUUGGCAUGACACGGUUACAGAAGCUGAAAGCAAGCCCCAGAAAGAAGGAGCCACAAUGCGUAUCCGUUUUCUUUAUGGUGGAACGAAUUACAGAAGGAUGAUCGAACCGCUUCACAUUGCUGAGUACUACAAGGAAGGUGGAAAAAAUUACAAAGAGAAAAGGCCUCGACAUUUCGUUCUUUUGGAGCAAUGGUUCGAUGAAGAGGAGAAAAAGAAGAAGGAAAAGAGAGAGAGGGAAGAAAGGGAGAACCCGCAACCACGCAGCGCAAGCAAGUCCAACUCAAAAGCGACGAGUGUGGCUACAAGUCUGAAUGAUGAUUCUUGUUUUUGGGUGCACGUCGAGGAAGCGCUUAUCUUGUGCAACGAACUAGCGAGGAAUCCAGAUGGCAGGCAAAAGCUGAUCGAAUUUGAGCGUUACGUGCUGGAUACGCUCAAGAAUUUCGCAGUGACACCUGAUAUUUUCUUGCCGCAAAGCAGCUUCAUGCAAUGGUGGAACAAGUAUAAAGAUAUUGUGGGAAGUAGCUACUCCUCGGAACUCACAGACGUCAUGAGGCGUCGCACUUAUCGCAAUUAUGCAGAUGGGGUCUCGGUUCUUGCUGGUCUAUAAGCCAAGAUAAUUAAGUUUUAAGCAAGCAAUUAAAUCAGAUAAAGCAAGAUUAGUUUUGCUGUAUCGCUCAUGAUCUUCACAGAGAGACGGGCAGUACUUGUUGGUGCUACUACGUUUCAAUAUUUUUGUUUGUGGUUUCUUUUUGUUUUGGGCUCGAGCAUCUAUAAGAAAAAUAAUGUGUGGGGGUAUUGUUUCAAUUAUAAUGUUGUAAUUUCCACUUCAUAAAAGUAAUGACGCUCGUUGUAUUUUGAUUUUACUAAGUGUGAUAAGUACUACCUAAUUAGUAUUUGUAAUAAAGUGAGACUUACUUUUGUCGUGGUUUGUGUUGUAUUAAUCUUCAUAUGAACCUAUAAAGUACAAAAGCUUAAUCUUGUAAAUACAUAUUCUAGCAAUGUGAAGAGUGGAAUUAGGAUUCAAUGCUAAAGCAAAAUACUUACGUAUCCCAUUGUGUAUACCCUUCUAGUGCGUUUUCACACAGCACGCAACGUAUGAUAAGGGUGCGUUUGGUACGUGGGACGGGACGGGACGGAACGGGACGAGGCGUUCCGUCCCGCGUUUAGUGCGCCAAAAAUGGAUGGAACGGGCUGUUCCACGGGACAGGUUUUGGGUGUUUUUGCGUUCCACCUCCCCCCUGGAACGGGUUUGUUCCACGUCUGUGGAACACAAUGUUUUACCAUUUUAAGACAAAUAUACCCCAUGUCUUUUUCAAAAAUGACACCUUCGUUCCGUCCUGUCCCGUCCCGUCCCGUCCCGUUCCGUCCCGUCCCGUCCCGUCCCGUCCCGUCCCGUCUGCGUACCAAACGCACCCUAAAGGAACAAAAAGGUAUACACCUCGAGACAAGUAAGUCCCAUGUGCUAGUAAAUUAGCUUGGAUGUAUGGCUGGUUUGGUAUUGCUGUGCUUUGAAAAAAAGCUGCUAUAAGAAUAAGCGGCUGUGAAAUAAAUCAGCAGAGCGUUUGGUAAACUUUUUUGUAAAAGUGCUUUUGAAAAAAAAAGCAGUUUGAUAGUUGGUCUUUUCAUUAAAGGAGCACUGUAGUUCCGUGUGCUUUGAAAAAAAGCCAGUUUUCCAAAGCUGCAAAUAGCAGCUUCAGCUUUUUCUUUUGAUUUCAGCUUAUUCUCACAGCAGCUUCCAAAAUAAGCCAUUUUUUUUCAGUUUACCAAACACCUAAAACCCUCACAACUUUUUUUCAUAGGUGCUUUUUUUUAAGCACCUCACUCCCAAACUAGGUCGUAAUGUAGUCACGGGAAGCGUAAGAAACAAAGAAAGGAGUGUACAGCCUGGGACAAAGCACAUAUAUAUUUUACAACUACAUGUAUGUACUCUAUGGGUGAGGCAUGGCCUAAGGGGAAGGAUCUCCAUUUUUUUUCAAAAAAUAGGAAUUAGUUGUGAGACUCACUCCACAUCGAACUUCAACGAUCCGAAUCAUCUAUUUUGUAAAUUUUGAUUCAUAGAUCAUUCUUACAAAAAUUCAAGUCCGAAACUAAUUAUCACGAUAAAAUUUGAAUGUUUUAUUAGAACAAAAUGUUCGUCAAUUUUUUUGAAUUCAAUUAUAUGCCUGUUUGGAUCCAAAUUUACACCAUUGGCCCAUGCAAUCAAGGCCUUUGAGUGAGCAUAGCUCCCAACCAUCGGAUGGAAAAGUGAAGAUAAUUUUGUUAUUGUUGAAGGAUAAUAUUAUGAUUUUUAUCAUAAUAAUUAUCUUUUAAUAUGGAUUAUCUGCAUCUUCUUAAACCAGAUAAAUAGGAUGCGAAUUAUAUCCUAAGCAAGCAGUACAGUUCGAAUUGAUUUGGGAUGUUUGACGACACUUGGAAGCUAAAAAUGAAUUUGAAAUUCAUUUGAUCAGGAUGCAUGCAUGGAUGGGUUUAAAGGUGAUGGAAUUAUAUGAUGUGAUAAGCCUAGGAUUUGAUGGUCUUGGAUAAUGAUGAGAUAAGAAACUUAGGUAGGCUAGGCCUUUUUUUGCAUGGUGAUGGGCGUUGUCAUAUGAGUUUGGAGUGAUAAGAAUUGAUGAUGUGAGCACAGUAUGAUUGUCGUGUGAAAGGGCACUUCGAGAUUUCAAAGGGACACCUGUUGUUCCUCUUGUAAAAGUCCACAAGCAUAAGAAGACUAGGGAGAUUUUUGCCGAAAUAUAUUAAAGAUAAUAUCAGUUAUUGUUUUUUAGAGUAUAUUCGGAAAGAGAGAUUAUAUUCACACACCUCAAAUUACUUCUCCCACACCUUUUUAUUUUUUUAAUAUUUUCUACACACCACUAACACUUGAUAAAAAAAUAUUAAAAAAUUAAAAGGGUGUGGGAGAAGUAAUUUGAGGUGUGUGAAUAUAAUCUCCCAUUCGGAAAAGGCCUCUAUUGGAUUGGCGAUCAAGAAGACUUGCUAUAAAUACAGAGGCAGUGGCAACAUGAAAAGUCCUCAUCCAAUUCAACACACAAACUGCCAUGUACAAACUCUUGCUUUACGUGAAACCUUUCAACAACCUUGAGAUUUUAUUUUCUUUUUCCCGCUGACACAUCUUAAAUUUUAAUAAACAGCAUUGUGAAGGCAACCGGUGAACAUCUUCAGUUUGGAUAAACAGCACUGUGCCAUAGAACCAUUCGACCGCGAAGCACCUUCAGUUUGGAUAAACAGCAUUGCUCCGAGACCGACUGGUUACCUAUCCAAGUCUCGGUCAAGAAGGAUUUUCGAGUCCUUAUUGGCAGAUGUCAUCUCAUCAGCCUUCUCGACGAAGUGAGAUGUUACCAAGUUACUACAUUUAGCACCCUGAGAGCCGAAUUUGAUAUUGAACUUCGCAGAACUAGCAGCCCUUCAGGCUCUAGAACCCGAAGGCCGAGACGUGUUCCUUUCUCGGCCACAGUCGUGAGAUUUAGAAGUCAACAACACGCCCAACGCAACAUCAACUCAUUUUACUCACCGGUCGAGCUCGGCCGUCGAGUUGGCACGCCCUACACACAACCGAAGAACGUAGUUAGCUUUUUAAUUGUUCGGCCUGUGCGCCACGUAGGCUUGAUAGUUUUUAGGUUGGAGAAAUUAGGUUCACAUCCUUCUUUUUGCUACUCCAUUGAUUAAAAUCCUAUUCAUUUUCAAUUUUUGAUCAAGGUCAUUGGGUAUUAAUAACAUCAUUAAUCAUUUGAAUAAUAAAAUAUUUUUAUUUUUAAAUAUAUUCCUUUAGUGUUAAAAAUGUUAAAAUUAGUAUAUUUAUGUUUAUGGCUAAAUUUUUUAUCAUAUAUUUUUAUUUUUAGUUUGUACCUCUUUUUAAUUUGUACCCAAUUUUCUUUUCAUUUUUAAUUUGUACCCAUAUAUUAGUUUCUUUAUGUGCCCAUAUUUUUUUAAAGUUUUAUUUGUAUUUGUACCCAUGUCUAUAACGUCACGUGACAUUGUAUAUUUAAUCAAUUAUAGAAAAACUACAUAUGGUAUAUUUAUGUUUUAUGCCUAAACUUUGUAUCAUAUAUUUAUAUUUUUAGUUUGUACCCACUUUUAAUUUGCAACAUUUUUUUAAAUUUGUAGUAUUUUCUUUUUAGUUUUAUUUUGUACCCAUGUAUUAAUUUCUUUUAGUGCCUAUAUUAUUUAAAAAUUCAUUUGUACUCGUAAUUUUUUAAUCUUUUAUAUGUACCCUAAUUUAUUUAUAAUGUACCCAUUCUUCUUUAUUAAUGUACCACUUUGUUAUAUGUGAAAUGUACCAAUUUUUUUAACAUUAUGGAUACAUUCUUUUGCCAUUUAUUAUUUCUUAUUUUUACAUAGUUUUUAUCCAUUUAUUCAAGGGAGUUUUAACGAAAAGCCCACGGUACUGUUCACUUUAACGAAAAACCACAUUUUUACACUAAAAAGUCAAACCUGCUACUAUUCACUUUAGCCUUUAUUUUGUCCUUAUCGUUAAAACUCAAAGUUUUUAAGCCCUUUUCAUUAAUUUUCCUUUUAUUUUCAAUCAAAAUGUUUGAAUUUUUUUAUUGUAACUGUUUCUAAUAGUAUUAUAAUGAGGGAUUUUAAAUUUAUAGGAUUAUAAAUCUCAUAAAAUAUCAAACAAUUAAUGUCAAAACUAUAAAAAUAUAAAUAUUAAUUGUAAUAUAAUGAGGUGUACAAAAUCAAAGGACUUUGAUCAAACUUUGAAUACCAUUAUGGUUUUAGUCAAAGAAUAUUAAGGAUUAGAGACUACAUCCAAAGUAUCCCUUUUAGGUUCAAUAAUGCCUUAAAUAUUUUUUAAGGAAAACUAAUAAAAAAGGCUUGAAAACUUUGAGUUUUAAUGAUAAGGACAAAAUAAAGGGUAAAGUGAAUAGUACCAGGAUUGACUUUUUAGUGUAAAAAUAUGAUUUUUCGUUAAAGUGAACAGUACCAAAUGCUUUUCGUUAAAGUUCCCUAUUUUUUAUUUGACUAAUAUUUUACAAAAUUAAUCAAUGAAAAGCAACUUCAAAAAUACACGAUUCAAAUCGUUAAAAUUUAAUGUGGUGCCCUUCCCUUAAAAUGACGUGGUGAUUUAGAUAGACACUAGAAAUUAGGCUCGUGCGUUGCCACAGGAACCAACUUUUUCAGACGUAAUCGAAUGAAUAAAUUCAACACAAUUAUGAACAAACAAAGGGAUACAUAAGUGAAUGAAAUCGAUAAAAUAAGCAAUUUUGCUUUUAUAUACAUUCAAGUGAGUUGACAUAUAAACACAUUGUACAAUGAGUGGGAAGAAACUGAACGUCUUUGAUUAGAAAGAGAUGGUUUCAAAAAAAGUUCUGUUUCCUUAAGAAACAAAAGAAACAUUUAGUUCACAUAUAUAAUGUGUCAUGCAGUGUAGACGGCCAUUUCAACAGAUAAUUAAAAAUAGAGAGUGUUGAGGACUUGUUCAAGUAGUUAAUUUUGUAACCACAACUUUUCAAAGGCAAAAAUAAGCAGAAGGUUUGUUUCCAUACCAAACUGAAGAAACAGAUGCAAGCUACAGUUUACACAUAUUUUGCCCCUGCAGUUAAGACAGCAAAAUAUAUGCCCUGCAAUCUACGUACCUCACUUGUGCAACAUAUGCCUUACACUGGAAAAACAUCAAAAAUUGAAUACAAAUUUGUAAAUCAUGGACAGAUUUUGUUUUACAUUUUUAUAAUCAAAUCAAACGGCAAUGUAGCACGUAAAAUUACAAACUUGAAGCAACCAGAGAGCAAAAAUUAAGAUGUAGAGAUAUCCUCAAACUUGCAACAUAUUGUAUGGAAGCUAACCGUAGAGGUUUGUGAAGCAAACUGCGGCAUGAGUUGCAGUCAAUUGAACAAAAAUAUAGUAGUUCAACUAAAAAAUGCAUAUAAACACAUUUAAGUUAAAUAAAUUCAACACAAUUAUGAAAGGAUACAUGAGUGAAUGAGAUCGAUAAGAUAAGCAGUUUUGCUUUUAUAUACAUUCAAGUGAGCUAGCAUACAAACACAUUGUACAAUGAGUGGGAAGAAACUGAACGUCUUUGAUUAGAAAUAUAUGGUUUCCAAAAUAGUUUUGUUUCCUUAAAAAACAGAAGAAACAUGUAGUUCACACAAAUGUGUCCUGUAGUGUAGGCAACCAUUUCAAUAGGUAAUGCCAAGAAAAGGAAUUAAAAUAUUAGGCAUAUAAAUGCAAGCUUACAGAAACUUUGUUUUUGUACACUUUCUUCUCCCUUGAAUGACAGUUUGUUUCUUAUCUAGAAAAAUAAAAUGAGCAGGUCAAUGAUACUCACAUGUGCAAAAUGCUAAUCCUAUGGUCUAAAGCUAACUGAGUUUUUAAAUGUAAAAUCUCUAAUUUCACUGCAUUUGGAUUGAUCACAGUUCGUGACUUGUUAAACUUGAUAUCUCCUUGUACAUUUUGGGAACUUGACGGCUUAAAGAAGUGCUCAUAAAAGCAAAUUACACAAUAUCUACUAAAAAACUUAGAGAAGGGACUCAAUUAGUCAACAACCAGGUGCCUCACACUUAAAUAUUAAAGACCAAAGGGAGAAAACGAAGCCAAACUCUUAAAAAUUCGUUGGCACACAUGCUUCAUUGGCUCAAUUGAAUGUAUAAUACAAUAAUUCGAACAAUAGCUCAGAAACAGUGCUAAAAUUCCAUUAGCACUAAUCACACACUGUUGGAACAGAGAUCCUAGCAAAGCUACACCAAUUAAAUGACAGACUAAAAACCACAAACAGGAAAAAAGGAAAAACAGAGUUAUCAGACAGCAUGAUUCAAAUAUAAUUUUAUUAGGGUUUGUAAAAGCACAACUCAUCCAGCACUUCGAACACACCGUGGGAUUUAAAGACCAUAGAGUAACAUGUUGGAUUCAUCAUUUUUUGAGAAGAGACAAACCUUUCAUUUAAGCUAACACAAAUUACAUAUCAAAGGAUAAGGAGUACGCUCUAAGAACAGACGGAAAUAAAACAAACACAUAACAGACAUAACUAUCAUACCAAGAAGCCCCCAGACACUUACUAUUGGCUUUGAUAUCAGUUUUACAAUCUGCCUUUGAUAUCAAUUCCACAAUUGGGAAUUGAUAUCAAUCUUAAACCCCACAGGCUAUUCAUGUUUGAGAAGGCAUCAGACAUGCCCGUCAAAAUCAUUACCAAGCUUAGAUACUUUCAGAGUACGUGAAGUGGGGUCACUUACAUUCUGUAUCAAAAAACCUGACAGACGCCAAUGAAAUUUUAAUAGCGGAAUUGAACCUAAUUCAUUAACUGUGGUUCGUGCAUGGUCAUGAUGAUAUGAGGUGAAUCGCUCUCUAAAAUCAGAUCUCGAAGAACCCUAACAGAAGCCAACACCUUGGAUGAAUGAAUCACAUUUAAGUUGAAUAAAUUCAACACAAUGCAUAAAUUGCCUUAAGAUCUGCUAAACUGAAGUAACAAAAUGACAAAACUAUACAAAUUACAGACCAGAAACAAAGCUAUAGCUGACUGACCUUAUGCCAAAUCCCUCGAGCUCUUUUUCAAUUAGACGCUUGUGAGUUAUUGGCUUUAUUGCAUCAUGAACAAUUAAAAUGCAAUUGCAUGUCCUAGCAGUGCUGAUAACCAAAAUAUUGUUAGGACAACAAACGGUAUCAAAGUUUUCAUCUGAAGCUAUUUUGACUUUAUGCACACUGAGAUGAAGAACCAAUAUAUAUUAAUUAUACCUUUGGGAUAUUUGGGUGGUCAAGCUUAUGCCAAACAUCAACCUCUUGCUGAAACGACGCCCGAAGAGCAGCAGUUUCGGCUAUCCUCCCCCCAAUCCAAUAUCUUUAAUUUUUCACUAUAAUAUCAAGAAUACAUAAAGCCAUGAGAACAAUAUUGAUAAGAAAAAUACAGGAUAACCUACGGUUAGGGGUUCAUUAUUCAAUCAAAUAACACCGUUUUCUUACACUCAAUAAAAAAAUUUAUGUAUUUCUAAAUUUGUACAUGCAGUCACAUGUAUUCUUUUUCUCCAAUGAAAUAAACCCCCCCCCCCCGGAGUCUAAUAACGAUGAAAGUGAUUGACCCCAAGAACCCCAAACAUGCCAGUCCUAAGAACACAAAGCAUAUAAACAGUUAACCACACACUUAAGCACAUUUGCGUCUGCACAGUGGCCAUUUAUUAGGUCAUAAUACACAUGAGUAAACCCUAAAACACAAAAAUCAAAGUUACAAACUUUCAAUACAAACCAAUCGAGAAUGAAUUUAUACCACACAUUCUGGCAUAAAAGAAAAGAAAAAUCAAUACUAAUAUUUGACUGCAAGCAGAUCUUGUGGGACUACUACAAAUAAUAUAAACCAGUAGAUUUCCGUAAUAAAAUAUAACCACAGAUGAAUGAAGGGCUAUUAACUUAAUAUUUAGAAAUAACCGUCAGUCCCUAGCUAUUAUGCAUGCCACUAAUGAAAGGAGGGAUCACCAUUUAUUAAGGUACCUGGAAUUCACCAAUACCAGGAUAUUUCCAACCAUGCUGUUCAGGAUAAGAAGGAUAUUGUAGCUCUCCACACGGACCUAAUCCAACUUCAAUUUCUGAUAUUAUUCCUUCCUCAAAAAACUCAUCAAAUUCAACUCUGAAGCUCCUCAAGUGGUCGAAGUAAACCUGCAUUGGUUCCAUUAUAAUAUAACAAAAUAGAAACUCUCAGCAUUAAACAAUAAGAAUGCAUAGGGUCUGAUUCUUAGAGCAUACAAAUUCUUAGAAAUAUAGAACAUAUAAGUUGGAAUAGGUUUAGCAAUAGUUUCUUUUAAAACAUGAGUGGAACAUGUAAAAAAAGACAAAUAUAGGAAAGGAGAUAUGACAAUCCAUAGAAAUAAAAGACCAACAUAACUAAGUAAUUCUAGAAUACUAUACCUCAACAGCAGUGCGGCCUCUUAAAACCCGCUCUUUAUCAAUUCCCCAAGUGAGACAUUCAGUGUUGCGUUUCCCUUCUUUAUUAGUAAAAUAUAUAUAUCAGGAUUCUUUUGGCCCAUUUCUGUCACCCAGUGAGAAAGAGGGAUAAGUACAUCAUCCCCGACAUCGCCUCCACACUCGUGGAAUGACAUCACGACCUAAACCAAUAUACAGCAAGACAAUGCACACCAUAUCCAACAUGCAUAUUCAAAGAAAAUAUGUAGCGCAGAAAAUCUCUCUUUUUUGAAAUGAGUUUUAACUGAGUCUCACAAACUAAUUUACAAAAAAGAAAGCUAUCAGUGGGUUACUUUUCAGCAAUCUACUCAAGACUAUUUUUCCCCUUACCUAAGACAACAGUCAGAAUAAACUUAAUUUAUAUACAAUGCAAGCCAAAAGAAGCAACAAUUGGUAUUCAACCUCACUUCCAGAAAAUUACUCAAAAGACAAUGAGAUAAAGAGUUUCAAAAAUAUGAUGCAUAUUUCAAUCGAGCCUCAUUAACAACAGAAAAUACAGCAGCACAAAGCAUAACAGAAACUUGGAAAUGGAAAAGGAACCUGCAAUUAGGCUUCUUCAGAAGCAAAAAUGGCAUUAUGGAACCCAGAAUAAGAGAGAAUCACACAGAGAGAGAGAGAGAGUGGAGUGAGCCGGUCUGAGCAAAAAUAAAGAUACUGAGCUUUAGAAAGUAGGAAAGGAUGUUGUUACCAUCCACUAAUUGUAUUGUUCCAUUCAGUAAAGCAACCAAUGCAGUUCUAGGCUCAUAGUUCCUAUUCACAUUAACCCAAGAAAAUUGAGCUUCAAACUGAAAUUUAAAAUCAACAUUGACCCAAAAUACAACUUCAAAUCAAAUUUAAAAUUUAUAUUGGCCCAAGAAAUAAAAUUUGUUCCGCUUUAAACUCAGAAAUUCGAAACCAACCCAUCACCUAGAAAAGUACCAAACAGCAAAAGAAAAGGAGGAGAAAGGAAGACACCACAUUUUGCAACCCUUUGAGUUUUUGAAGUCUAAAUCUUUCCUCUUCUGCUUCUUCAAUGCUUAAAAUUUUCACUCACUGACUAUUGUCUGCCAUUCUUCUUUACUCGGCUUUAAAAAUAAUUUCCAUAGAAUAAAUAAGCAACAAUUUUCUAUGAAUAAAAAGAAGUGGUAAGAAUUCUCCCUCAGAAAAUUAAAAAAAAAAAAAAGAAUGCUCACAAUUUUGUCUAGCAAAUACUCCAGCUUUGUAUCUUCCUAACAUAGGAUUUAUUUUUUUCCUGUAAGAAAGAUUAUUCUCUUGUUGCCCGUUGGAAUAUAAGGGAAUGUAUAUUAUUUUCACAUUUGAAAAUAACUCAAGUUUCUUACAAUAAAAAGUAAAAUUGUUUGCAGUGUGUCUUUGAGUACUAACAAUGCGAACCCCAAGUGACAAUGCAAUUUCCCGUUCUAAAGCGAAGGAAAAAGAAACGAAAAAUUGAAGAAACCAGCCUUUUUGUUCAGUGUGAUGGCUGACAAUUUAUCUAAUGGGAAUAUGAAUAAUUGUGUUACUCGAUACAAAGUGCAAAUAAAAAUUGAAGAAAGCACUUGAAGAUGAAAUGAAGUGUGGGUAAAAAAAAAACAAAUGAAAAUUGAAAUUGAGAUAUAUGAACAAUGAAAAUUGAAAUUGAGAUAUAUGAACAUUCAUUCUUAGAGAUGGAAGGGGAGAGAACAAAAGAUACUAAUCAGCAUAUUGCCAACAUAUAUCUCAGAAACCACCAGAUUAGUUGUAAGGUAGAUUGUUAAAGCUGUUUGAGAAACUUUCGUCUACAAUAUUAUGAAGGAAUGCAAACUAAGUAAUUGGUAGCUGAACGAAAUUUUGGCAAGGAUUUACAAAGUAACUCUAUGAAAUUCAUCAAUAAAUCAUCUAUACAGACGCACAUGUUCCCAGUCACAAUGAUUAAAAUCUAAAACAUUUAUUCAUGCAUUCGUGCAAGGGAAAGAAUGGACUCAGCCUGGUUUCUAUCAAGUGUCAACAAAAGAACACAAUUCAAGUUGCACAAAGCCAAAUUAAAUGCAUAAGUGACAUAAAAAUUGAACAUACCGCAUGAUAGUCCUCAAUCUUCAUCAACCGUGAAUCAUGAAUUAUGGAUAUUAUUCAGACCACGAAUGUGUAAACCCUCCAAUUACGGUUGGUAAUCGGGUUCAAAAUAAUGUUUGUAGAAGUGUGCUGAUUCCUUGAAUAAAAAGCAGAGUCUGCACUAUUCUCACUUUGUCACCCUAAUCAAUUAGGUCAAAUAAGGAGCACAUUCAUCAUCCAUAUCAGUCCAUAUAAAAUACGCAAACAUUAAAAAAAAAAUUCAAUCUUGACCAUUUUUGCUAUGCGAAACUGACGCUUAAUUCUUUUUUAAGAAAUUAGCAUAAUAGUACACAAAAUUUACUUGAAUUUAGUCUCCAAUUGAACAAAGGCCACAACGAUAUAAGAAUUGAAUGAAAGUGGUAUACAAAAUCAACUCACAUCAUCACCACCCAUCAAAGGAACACGGAAUGUGGGGAUCAUCACAGCAGUUCCCAAGGCCAAAAUGUAGUGCUGGAAACCCAAAGCAAUUGUUUCCCCUGUUUUCAAAACAAAAAAUGAGAACCAAAUUGGGGAAAUUUUAAAACCCAACAAAAAAGUCGAGAUUUGGGUUUGAGAAAAGAUGAAUAAUAAAUGAGAAAAGGUGAAAAAUAAACAUACCCUAAGAGGGAUUUGAGUCAAUGCCUUACCCUAAGCCUUGGAGUUGGUCCAUUGCUGGAUGGCUUAUCUCUUCUGGUUUUGGAGCUGCCAUGGCUUCUGCCCAAUUCAAAACCCUUAAUCUGCCUCUAAAUCCAAAAGGGUUUUUACCAAAUGAAUCAAAGAACACUGAUUUGAGAGAGAAAUUCUCCCUGGGUUUUGUUCAAUGAAUACAAAAAUGGAAGUUAUUUUUACCAAUUUAGAGAGAGAUUAGAGUCUAUGACAAUGAAAAGCACAAAAGAGAAAAAGCUAAUGGAUCAUGGAGGUAAAAGAGGACUGAUGACCACACAACCCUCUCUCUUUCUGUCCCUCGAAUUGCACUCUCCCUGUCACCGCGGCCCAUUCCCUCAGAACCCUACCCCCAAAGUCCUGCUCAACCCUCUAGUACGAAUUGGACCUUUGCUCCACCCGAAAAAUAUUUAAAAUGUUCUUAAAUGACUACUUUCAACUAAAAGAGUAGAACCAAAUCAAAACCAACAACUUUCAACUAAAUUGCACAAAAGAGUCAAAAUUUAAUUGCUAUACAGAACUAUCGGUUCAAUCGAAAACAAUCAGAAUUCGAGACCCUACCUCCUCCAUUCUCUGAGAGCGAAGCCCUCCUCAGGCAGCAUCUCCGACGGCGCUGGCAAAAUGGGAUCGUCGGACCCGCCAAACCCUCCAUCAAAACCCUGACCGUUCGAUUCGGGCCUCAAGUAUCCCUACUGGUCGAAGCAGUAGCAGAAGAAGAAGAUGAGGAGGAAGACGAUGGACGUUCAUAAUCGAAGAGUUCGAAGGGAUUUACCUUUGGAUUCUUCGGCUUUCAGAUGGAGUUUGCUUGUGUGUGGGCCUGCAACUUCGUUUGCAGGCGUGAUGUUUCCAUGGAAUUUCUCUCGGGUUUACAUAGACAACAAAGCGAGAGAGAAAGCUUUUGCAGAAGGGGAAUUGUGUUUUGUCGAGGUUUUGAGUUGUAGGUAGAGCUAACGAAGGGAGAUGAGAGAGAGAAGUGGAGCGGCUAGGGUUUGAGUAUGGAAGAGAUGAAAAAUGGAGAGAGCACCUGUUUUGGCUGAAGCACGGCUCACCGAACGAAGAAUAAAGAGGCGGUGGCAAUUUUGUAAAUAACUCUCAAUUCACUGUUCAUUUCUACAGUGCCAUUUCCCAUGCUUUCUUUAGACUAAAGUAAUUGUCAAUUUGCCAUGCCAAAUAUUAGAAAAGUAGAGUGUGGACACGGGAAGAAAACCCAGCUUAGAUAUGGGACCCACAUGCACAUGCAAAUGCAAAUGCAGUUGUCAUCAAUCUCAAUAAUUUUCAACAAACCUUUAUGUUUUGAUUCAAACAGUUUCCCACUUUCGUGCUUUUUGCUUGGUGGGCAAGGAGCAGUUUUUUCUCUUUACUUUAUGAGUUUAACUGCCCAUUAUUAUUAUUAUUAUUAUUAUUUCGAAAAUUAAAAUUGGUUUCAGAAUUUUCUUUUCAAUUUUUGGUUUUCAAAUGAAUCUUAUAAUGUUUAUACGGUCAAAAUACAUUAACGUGUGCAUGAACAAGGAGGAGCACGUCUAAAUCGAGAAAAAAUCUAAAUUUUUGUAUGUGGUUCAAUAUUUUAAUGAAUAGAGUAUUAGGUUUUUACCUAUGCGUUCCGUGUUCAAAACUCUCCAAUUUUCUAAAUUAUUGUAAUAAUUUCGAACAUCCCUUAAUAAUAUGGUACAAAUUUAUAGCUACCGUAAUGUUCCAAUCAAACAAACAAUGACAUGUUUACAUUUUUCAAUACGUGACAUUAUAUAGUUAAAUUGAUCACGGUGCUACGCGGAAGAGGAUCCUCUCUGGAUCCAUUUUGUGGGGAUCCUAGGGAUCCCUACAUCAUAAUCGUUCAUCGUACAUUAUGUGAUCAGUUUUCGUCAAGUACUAUUUGUGUUUUAAUUUUAAAUAGAAAAAAGUCAAAUGAUUUUUAACCGCAUAAUACACGAUGAAUGAAAGAUAUGAAGAUCCGUAAGAUCCCUACAAUUUGGAUUUAGAUAGAAUUCAAAUCCGUGCUACAUGACAACAAAACCAUUAUAUAUAAAUUGCUCUCUAAAAUUAACUCGACAUCGUCCUUUUUUAAGUCAGGUAUAGCACACAAUUAGCCCCUGGAUUUGAAAAUACAACUGGAUCACCGCCAUUUAUACGAUUUAAUGGAACGCUAGUCCGAGUUGGACGGGGCCCAUUUCCUUCCUAAUAAAACAGCCAAGUUGAUGUUGGACUGUUGGAUUGGUGAUAGUGAUGAGCUUUCAGCGCGCUGUUUAACUUUAACGCUGCAUGAUCCAUCACACGACGGACAAUAUAUGUGCCAGAUACAACGUUGCACCUUUUAACCUUUCUACCCAGUAUCCACCUAAUUAUCUCAGCCUCCAUUUAAUGUCAAUUUAAUAUCUACAAUCUUUUGCUAAUAGUUGGGGGGUUUUCUUAACUAAGUUAUCUGCGACUCUAUAAUGUGUACAAAACUGUGCAGGAUUAACCACAAUCGUACAAUGAUGACUGAACUCUGAGAAAUAUUCCCAAAUGGACCACACUUAGGUGAUUCUGGACAAAUCUAUGUGUGAUUGUCACACUGUCAAAUAAUUUUAAUCAGAUUUAAAAAAGAUUUCGUGUUGUUGAACCAAAGUUGUAAGAGACUAGAGGAAGUCAGUCCUCGCUAAGGGAAGGAAAGGUUGAUAUUGGUGUCACGCUCGACCUUGUCGAGGGGGAUGAAGGUGCGGUCGAUUCAAUACUCGAAUUAACCAAAGAGUGAUAUUGUCUACACACCUUCUUUUAAGUAUCACACACUCUUUGUUAAUUUAUGUCAUAUGAUCAUCUUUAAUUCAUUCGAUUCGAUGACAAAAAAUUAAGAGUUGUGUGUGAAAGGUAAAAAGAGGUUAGCAACACUCUUAACUAGAGGUGGCAAAUCAACACGUUGGGUUGUUAAUGGGUACUCAUUAAGACUCAUUUAGUUUGAUUUCACCUUACACCAUUAUCACCAUUACAAACCCCACCUUUAUAUUAUGAUGAUAUCAAAUUAAACGAGUCUUAACGGGCACUCAUUAACAACUCAAUGUGUUGAUCUCCACCUUUACCCUUAACCAAAUAAUGACGAAAGUUUGACAUUUCAUAUCGUCUUCUCUCAUAAGCCUGAUAGUCAUAAAAUAGGAAUAAGGAUCAUCUCCGGAUCCUCUUUGGGAGGAUCCCGAUGAUCCGUGUAUCGUGUCUAUUUAUUGUACAUCAUGCAGUCAGAAAUCAUUUUAAAUUUUAUUAUUUAAAAUUGAACACAAACAGUAUUUGACAAAAACUAAUCACACGAGGUACGAUGAACGGACACGAUUCACGGAUUCCUGGAAUCCCCACAAAGAGGAUCCAGAUUCAUAAAAUAUGGUAUAGAGUUAGACCAAAAGCGACAUAAUUACACCACAUGGCAAUGUGACAUUCAAACCAAAAAAUACUCAUUACUCUCAAGUUUAAAGAACACUUAGCUACACUCAAUAUGUACCGUGAUAUGGAUAAUGUUAUUAACACCUAGUUUUACUUUCUACAUACCUGGUUAAGUUUUGGCUAUUGAUUUUUUUUUUUCAAUUCAUUCGAUGAGAUAACCAAAAAUUAAGAAGAGUGUGUAAAAACUAAAAAUAAGUAUGUGAAUAGCACUACCAUGUGACAAUCCUGAAAUUGAACCUUUUCACAUUGCAAUGCAUAAUCUUUUUUAUGCAGUUAGAUAACUUUAGGGUUUAGGUGUGAUUAAUUGAACUAUAACAUGAAGUGAUAAUAAAUUACUUUCCCACUUAACUCGUCAAUUAUAUAACUAAUUUAAUACUUUACUUAAUUACAAGUGAUGUCUACACUACUAGGUUCGGUCCACGUAUGAUUGACUUUAUACAAUGUCACAGUCAUAGUGGUAUUGAAGAAAUCUGAAUCUGGCGGGAUCUUCUUUAUCAGAUUCUCGGAGAUUCGUGAAUUAUAUUCGUUCAUCGUAUAUCGUGCGGUUAGAAAUUAUUUUAAAUAUUUUUAUUUAAAAUUAAAUACAAACAGUACUUGAUAAUUGAUCACAUAAUAUACGAUAAACGUACACGAUUUACAUAUCUCUAAAAUUCUCGCACCAUCUGGAGAGGACCCAGUUGGGUAUUCAAGGGCAGAAAAGUCGUCCUCCUCACUCACCUCCAUAAGAUAGGGGCAUUUCCGUCAUUCCAUGUGCCUUGAUCCGAAGUUCAACCCAAAAUUUAAGUGGGCCGUCGAUUACUCCUAAGCACGAUUCCCGUGAUUGACGGUGGAUAGAGUGCCGCGUGGUCACUCCCCCCCGGUAAAUCCAUCUCUUCUGCUACGAGACCUCACUCUCUAUUUCUCUCUCUCUCUCUCUCUCUCUCUGUCUUCCUCCUCCUCCGAGCUUCCAAAAAGCUCAUUUCUUCCUUCGAGCCACCGCCCGCCAGUUGAAGCAGUUGCAGAAGCAGCAGCAGCCGCAGAGAGAAGCUAAGCAUGGCGGCAUUCCUCAUUGUCCUCCUCACAUCUCUACUAGCUCUCACCACUCUCCCCGCCGCCGAAUCCCGACUCUACACCAACUACUACCAAAAAUCGUGCCCGAGAUUCGCCCAAAUCGUCCAAGACACCGUCACCAAUAAGCAGAUCAUGAAUCCCACCACCGCCGCCGCCACUCCCCGCCUCUUCUUCCACGACUGCCUCGCCAACGGCUGCGACGCCUCCAUCCUCCUCUCCUCCACCCCCUUCAACAAGGCGAAGGAGAAGCUCGGCGUGUUAGGGAUUCAGACCGGAAGGCGGGGAGAGAUUAGGCACAGGUGUCGAUAUCAACCUCUCAUAGAACAGAGAAGCAGGAACUACUCGCUGUGCACCAGAUCAUAAAUUGGUCCAUCCCUAGUAUGCGUUUUAACUCUUCCCUAUUAGGUUAAUAUUUAUACUUCCAUUAUUUAAGCGAAUGGUCUCUUGUUCCGGCUUACUUCCACAUUUCUCGGUUUUGCUCCCACAUUUCUUGGAUUCCUGGGAUCGUAGAGAUCGUAACCAUUAUUCAUACAUCCGUUUUCGUUAAUUACUAUUUAUAUUUAAUUUUAAAUUUUAAAUUUUAAAAUAAUUUUUAAUAUAUGAUGAACGGUUACGAUCGUGCGGGAUCGCUACGAUCCUUUUCCACAUCUCUUGGAUACUAGUUGAAAACACACUUAUUUACUCAAGUAAGGUGAAAAGGUUGUCAAGUAUCAUACUUGAUGGUAUAUACUUACAGCUGUCCGACGUGAGAAUUCCGUUAAUCUUUGUAAGUCCUUUCUCUUUUCUUUUUGGAAAAUAUUUAUCGGAUUGUUGGAGAAAUUUACUGAUAUACAUUGCCCAGUCUUUUUGAUAAUUUUACUGCUCAUCAGAACAAUCUUUUCUAGCAAACCCUACUGACAGUUUUUAUCGUUAUUAGGUCCGGAAUACAGGAAGCCGGAUGGAAAUUGGUAACAGCAUCAGCCACUUCGGAAUCAUGAGUGCUCAAGUUGUCUUUGUGCUUUUGCUCUUUGCUCUCACGAACAUAUAUACGAAAGAUAUCGACAUUGGUUCAGUUGACCGCUCCUCUCGGAAAGCAAUGUAGGUCGUGUUAAAUUGGGACUUUGGGCAUCAAAAUAAGUCACCAGUGUUCAGGAAAAGCGAGCAUUAACGCCGCUAAGGCGCACCUCUUGCGGUCUUCUGCAGUUUUUUGCCCUUUAUUCCUGCAACUGCUGAUUGCUCGUACAAAGUUCGAUUGAAAUUUAAUGAGAGUCAGAGCAAUGGGAUUUUCCAAGUGUUCCCCAAAGAUCGCACAACGUUCGAUUGAAAUUUUGGCACUCUCCGCACGUCUUGAUUAGUUGAUACGAUUUAACGAGUUAUCCCGUUUAGAUAUUCAUUGAUCAAUUUUGUAACUAAAUUUAACAGUACAAACUCCUUUUUUGGCUGUCUGAAAUAUUUGAUUGAUCAAUUAAAUGUUACUAUCUUCCAUCUGGAAACAAUAAAAGUCGGCCCUCUAUUGGGAGAAAUUUUUGGCCGCGAACGACCAUACCACAUGGCUGUCUAAAAGCAUUUUUAACCGGAGUCCCAUCAUUAUUUUUGAAGACUCAUUUACGAACUUAAAGGGAAUAUGCUUGUUCCUAAAAGAAAAUUAGUUCCAAUGAGAGUGUCUUAUAAUAUAAUCAUUAAAUUUAGGGACUACAAGUUAAAAAAUCAUUGUUAAUUUCAUAGCGGUUGAUCUAAAUGGUAAAAAAACAAAAUAAAACCCCAAAAAUACUUUCAUACCUCUUGUUUUCUGAGCAACAGACGAGAAAAGUAACGCCAUCUGCCCCAUUGGAAGCUGGUAUUCUAGAAUCCCAUCACGUGCUGGGAACUUCACCUGAAGAAAGUAGGGAUUCUAACAUAAAACUAAGAAUAAUGCUAUCUACAUACACAUCCCUACGCAAUCCUUAAUUGUAAGGUAAUUUUUGGGAUCUCCGGACAGUCCCCUAUAUUAUAGGGACUGGAGUUCCAAUCCACUGAAAGUCACCAAGUUCUUAACUUUAAAACAUACGGUGGUACGAACCAAGUAUAAGGACAAAUAUUGGAGAUGCUCUAAUUCAACGAACAAAACGCCCAUUCUUGCCGAUGGUCCCACCCUUCGCCCCUUGCUUGCGUGCGAGCGUCCGAACUCAAGGAUUGCCCCUUGUAUUUGUGCGCGCGUGCGAGCCCUCAGAUUCACUCGUUAUAUUCCUUUGUAAAUUUCUUUGCAUCCUUCCGUGAACGUUCAGUUGUUAAAAUCAGCAAUGUAUUAACCUCCUCCGAAUAUUCGUUGCAGGGAGCAAGAGGGAAUAAAUAAUGCAAGUGGGAAUAAUUAACCUGAAUUUCAGGAAGCCGAGGAAAAGCACCGAGGCAAAGGUCUAGGGCCCUCCCUUUUCCUCCGAGAAACUUUCAGGAACAAGUUGCGUUGACGACGACCUAGACUUUGCUGUGCAUCGUCGACUUGGUGGGAAGUUUCGUCGUGGGGCCUUUUGAUUGGUGAGACAAAGAAGUCCAUAGUAUUAAUAAUAACAAUAGGAUUGAUUCGUAUUCUAUAUAAAGAGAGACAUUGAUCACAUUCUGGUAUCCUCUUCUCUCCAUCUACUGUGUGUUUUAAGCAGAUCGGCAAAAGCUUGAAGAUGAACGACCAGUAAGUCAACUUCGACUUCAAACUCCUCCGAUCCUUGUUUUUCUUUGAAUCCUUUGCCAUGAUUUUUCUUGUGUUGUCUUGAUUAAGCGAAAAAUGGUCUGGAAUGGCUAAAAGUGUGUUUUUCAACUAUCAAAAGUUCUUGCGGUUAAAUCUGGCAAAAAAAACUUGCAAAACGCUUUUAGAUAGACGGUAUAAGCUCUUUUCGGAGAAGCAUGUGCUAUGUCCGCCUUCUACAAGCACUUCUAUAUUUUCAAGUGCUUUUUCGAAUGGCACUUGAGUAUUUAAUAAACAUUUCCAUAUGUUCAUGGUAAAAGAUAAGUGCUUAUGAGUAAAGUGAAUCUUACGAAAUACAAUAGCAUAAUAAUCGUCCUUAAAGUUUACCAAAGUGCAAUUUCAUUCUUACAAGUAUUUUGCUAAAGUGGCUUUGUUAGAAAUAGGUAGCAUUAUUCACGUACUUAUUUUUACUAACAAGAGAGGAUCCUUGCUGUGAGGAUCCUAGUCGGAUCCUCUUUGUGAGGAUAUGGAAAUCCUCCAAUCACAUUUGUUUAUCGUAUAUCGUGCGAUCGGUUUUUGUAAGAUAUUGUUUAUAUUCAAUUUUAAAUAAAAAUAAAUUAUAAUGAUUUCUGACCGCACGAUGUACGAUGAACAUAUAUGAUUGGAGGAUCCGCCCAGGAUCCUCUUGAGACCUACACCUCUUAAUUUUAGGGUCGGUAGAUCAAAUGAAGUGAGGAAGAUCAAUGAACAAUAAUUAACAAGGGUGUGUAAGAGGUGAAUAUGGAUUGGGGAAUAACACUUUGCUAGAAAUAUGAUGAAAUUUCUAUAGAAAACUAGCUUGUUUGAAACAUUUUUAAACCAAUUCUUAGUAAAAAUGCAAGUAAAGUUUAGAAAAGUACUUGCAGUGCUUCCUUGCAAAAAGCAAAUAGUUUUUUUAAGGAAACACUUCAAAUGUUUCUUUAUAAGUGCUUUUGAAAUCUAAAAAUAUUGUCACUAAAAAACGCUUUUAAUUAUUUUAAAAGUACUUUUAAACAUGUAAUUAAAAAUACUUUUGGUGAUUAGACUGACAUUUUCAGCUAUUUCAACAGAAGUUUCAAGCAUGUUUGCUAUUAUAGUUGGAUGCUAUUUGCUUACACCCUCCAUUUAACUUUGCUUCAAUUUUUUGUUGGUGAUCAUGACAGAAUUAGCACUGCUGGGCUUGAACUAGCAAAUGAGCUGGUGACUUCUCCUCCCCUUCACCAGUCAUGGGACGCGGUUCUUGAUCAGAUGCAAAAGCUCCCCCCAGCAGCUGAUCCGAACCAAAAAAUGGCCUUAGACAUUAGUGAAACCAAGCACUCAAACACCACCAUCAUAUCUUUUCUUACUUCACCAGUCACACUUCACGAUCAACAAACGAUGGUUUCGUCGUUGACUCUCAAGAACGCAGAUUUUUCUCUCUUUGAGUUUUUGUGCGGCAAAAACAUCCCAAGUUUCUCCGUCAAUGAAUUGGCAAUCAACUUCUUCAAAUUGAACCUCACAAACCUCGAUAUUUGGCGAAAAAAGGUGCAUAUUAUUGUCUCUCUGAUAACUGAUAAUGUUUAACCAUUUUGACGACUUUUAAUGUUAGUAAGAAACAGUUAAAAAUCAUAUUUAUAUUGCUAGAUUACUUUUCACUUAAUUAGUUUGGAUUCUUUGACAAACUGUUAAUGUUAACGAAAAACUCUUACAAAACCGAGUUUAAGUGUUUUUUCUUUUACUAUGAAAGAAGUUUGAGGAACUUAUUUGUAAAGACUUCUCCAAAU